GAUGAACGCUGGCGGCGUGCCUAAUACAUGCAAGUCGAGCGAACGGACGAGAAGCUUGCUUCUCUGAUGUUAGCGGCGGACGGGUGAGUAACACGUGGAUAACCUACCUAUAAGACUGGGAUAACUUCGGGAAACCGGAGCUAAUACCGGAUGAUAUUUUGAACCGCAUGGUUCAAAAGUGAAAGACGGUCUUGCUGUCACUUAUAGAUGGAUCCGCGCUGCAUUAGCUAGUUGGUAAGGUAACGGCUUACCAAGGCAACGAUGCAUAGCCGACCUGAGAGGGUGAUCGGCCACACUGGAACUGAGACACGGUCCAGACGCCUACGGGAGGCAGCAGUAGGGAAUCUUCCGCAAUGGGCGAAAGCCUGACGGAGCAACGCCGCGUGAGUGAUGAAGGUCUUCGGAUCGUAAAACUCUGUUAUUAGGGAAGAACAUAUGUGUAAGUAACUGUGCACAUCUUGACGGUACCUAAUCAGAAAGCCACGGCUAACUACGUG
rnacentral:rRNA from 1 species